UACGGAGGGGGCGAGCGUUAUUCGGAAUUACUGGGCGUAAAGGGCUCGUAGGCGGCCAACUAAGUCAUACGUGAAAUCCCCCGGCUUAACCGGGGAACUGCGUCUGAUACUGGAUGGCUUGAGUUCGGGAGAGGGAUGCGGAAUUCCAGGUGUAGCGGUGAAAUGCGUAGAUAUCGGAAGGAACACCUGUGGCGAAAGCGGCUCACUGGACCAUAACUGACGCUGAGGCGCGAAAGCUAGGGGAGCAAACAGG
rnacentral:rRNA from 1 species